GGCGAACGGGUGAGUAACACGUGGGUGAUCUGCCCUGCACUCUGGGAUAAGCCUGGGAAACUGGGUCUAAUACCGGAUAGGACCAUGCUCUAGUGUGUGUGGUGGAAAGUUUUUCGGUGUAGGAUGAGCCCGCGGCCUAUCAGCUUGUUGGUGGGGUAAUGGCCUACCAAGGCGGCGACGGGUAGCCGGACUGAGAGGUUGGUCGGCCACAUUGGGACUGAGAUACGGCCCAG
rnacentral:rRNA from 1 species